rnacentral:rRNA from 1 species
GGGUUGUAAAGCUCUUUCGUCGGGGAAGAAAAUGACUGUACCCGAAUAAGAAGGUCCGGCUAACUUCGUGCCAGCAGCCGCGGUAAUACGAAGGGACCUAGCGUAGUUCGGAAUUACUGGGCUUAAAGAGUUCGUAGGUGGUUGAAAAAGUUGGUGGUGAAAUCCCAGAGCUUAACUCUGGAACUGCCAUCAAAACUUUUCAGCUAGAGUUUGAUAGAGGAAAGCAGAAUUUCUAGUGUAGAGGUGAAAUUCGUAGAUAUUAGAAAGAAUACCAAUUGCGAAGGCAGCUUUCUGGAUCAUUACUGACACUGAGGAACGAAAGCAUGGGUAGCGAAGAGGAUUAGAUACCCUCGUAGUCCAUGCCGUAAACGAUGUGUGUUAGACGUUGGAAAUUUAUUUUCAGUGUCGCAGCAAAAGCGAUAAACACACCGCCUGGGGAGUACGACCGCAAGGUUAAAACUCAAAUGAAUUGACGGGGACCCGCACAAGUAGUGGAGCAUGUGGUUUAAUUCGAAGAUACGCGCAGAACCUUACCAACACUUGACAUGUUCGUCGCGACUCUGAGAGAUUAGAGUUUUCGGUUCGGCCGGACGAAACACAGGUGCUGCAUGGCUGUCGUCAGCUCGUGUCGUGAGAUGUUGGGUUAAGUCCCGCAACGAGCGCAACCCUCACUUUUAGUUGCCAUCAUUUAGUUGGGCACUCUGAAAGAACUGCCAGUGAUAAGCUGGAGGAAGGUGGGGAUGACGUCAAGUCCUCAUGGCCCUUACGUGUUGGCUACACACG